rnacentral:snoRNA from 10 species
AUCCUUUAUGGUUCAUAAAUAUGAUGAUUGGGUUUUCACGCUGCUGUGUGAGAUAUAUCUCCUUCAAACUUA